AAAAGUCACCUUUGAAAUUAUGGAGCAAAGAAAAAGAAAAGAAAGAAAAAACAAAGAGAAAGCUCAUGGUUGUGUGGAUGUGAAAAAUAAGAAAAGAAGAAAGAUUGGGAUAAAAAAAAACAGAAAUUGUUGUUGAGUUUGAAUUUAUGAGAAUGCUCCCUUAGGAUAGGCAUUUUUGUUGAAUUCUCUUAAUCAUAUCCUUUCUUGUAACCCAAGCCACAUUACAACCUUUGAAAGACCUCUUGAUUCUCAUUUUUCACAUGAUUUAG
rnacentral:lncRNA from 1 species